UCCCUGGUGGUCCAUUGGCAAAGGCUCUGUACUUCAAAUGCAGGGGCCCCAGGUUCAAUUCCUGAUCAGGUAA
rnacentral:tRNA from 1 species